GCCGCGUUGGCGUAACCGGGAAUGAAUACCGGCGAUCAGGGUUGCAUCUCUGUGAUCCCGUUGGGGUAGCGUCCGGUCCUGCGACCGGAGAUGCGGGUUCGACUCCCGCACGCGGCA
rnacentral:tRNA from 1 species